rnacentral:tRNA from 1 species
GGGACUGUAGCUCAGUGGUAGAGAGCACUUGCCUGGCAAGCAUGAGGCCCUAGUUUCC